rnacentral:rRNA from 1 species
AAUACGUAGGGGGCAAGCGUUGUCCGGAUUCAUUGGGCGUAAAGAGCGUGUAGGCGGCCAGGUAGGUCCGUUGUGAAAACUCGAGGCUCAACCUCGAGAUGUCGAUGGAAACCAUCUGGCUAGAGUCCGGAAGAGGAGAGUGGAAUUCCUGGUGUAGCGGUGAAAUGCGCAGAUAUCAGGAAGAACACCCGUGGCGAAGGCGGCUCUCUGGGACGGUACUGACGCUGAGACGCGAAAGCGUGGGGAGCGAACAG